CCCUUAGAUGUUCGGGGCCGCACGCGCGCUACACUGAAUGAAUCAGCGAGUGUAUGUCCUAGGCCGAAAGGUCCGGGUAACCCGUUGAACCUCAUUCGUGAUUGGGAUAGGGACUUGCAAUUGUUUCCCUUGAACGAGGAAUUCCCAGUAAGCGCAAGUCAUCAGCUUGCGUUGAUUACGUCCCUGCCCUUUGUACACACCGCCCGUCGCUCCUACCGAUUGGGUGUGCUGGUGAAAUGUUCGGAUCGGCCGUUUGUCGCGGUUUCCGCGUCAUGUGGCUGAGAAGUUCAUUAAACCCUCCCACCUAGAGGAAGGAGAAGUCGUAACA
rnacentral:rRNA from 1 species